rnacentral:misc_RNA from 1 species
GUGAGUCAUCGAAUCUUUGAACGCACCUUGCGCUCCUUGGUAUUCCGAGGAGCAUGCCUGUUUGAGUGUCAUGAAAUCUUCAAUCUACAAGCUUCUUAUGGGAGUUUGUAGGCUUGGACUUGGAGGCUUGUCGGUCCUUUACAGGUCGGCUCCUCUCAAAUGCAUUAGCUUGGUUCCUUGCGGAUCGGCUUGUCGGUGUGAUAAUGUCUACGCCGCGACCGUGAAGCGUGUUUGGGCGAGCUUCUAACCGUCUCGUUACGGAGACAACUUUAUGACCUUCUGACCUCAAAUCAGGUAGGACUACCCGCUGAACUUAAGCAUAUCAAUAAGCGGAGGA